rnacentral:ribozyme from 1 species
GCAGAGGGAACCCGCGAGCGAAUCGCGGGUUUAAUGCACCAGACCCGGUCCCAAGUCCGG